AAAUAACAGGGAUGAUUCAUUUGGCAUAAGACCAUCUCUUGAUCACUAUUCCUUACACAGUACAUAUCACUCUGGAUGACAUGAAUUAUCAGAUUCCUAUGGAAAUUAUCAGAUUCCCUAAAAUUUCUCCCCACCCCCCGCAUGUUAACCAACAAUCAGGAGCCUUUCCUGAAAGUAUCAGUAUGAAAUCAAGUGAACAAGAGAUGCCUGAAGGAAUGUAGUCAUCUACUGAAACUAAGAUGUAAAAUUCUUGAAAAAAACAUUCAACAGAGUUAACCACCAAAUCAUCUGCCAUUUGCCAAGCUAUUACGGUUUCCCUUCUUCUCUGAUGAAGAAGAGCAUUCACCUUGCCACCCAAGCCAGAGACCAUAGUCCUUGACUUCUGUCCUGAAAUGUGCUCAUCCAAUCAGUCCCCAAGCCUGCCUCCCCAGUAUACAGGCAGACCUCUCACCACCUUACCAUCAUGUCAACAGAGGCCACUGCCAUCCCUUGCCUCAUCAACUACUGGCCUCGGAACUGGUCCCAUCCUCACUAUCAUCUUCAUAAUACAUGAAUUUAGCCUCUACAUCAUCUUAGGAUCAGGCCCCCAACAGCCUAGCAUGUAUAACAAGGCCCCACACAGCUGGUUCCCCAGUGCUGUCUCUCAGAUUGCGUUCUAGCUACAUGGAGAACAUUCCAGCUCUUCAAAAUCUCCAAUAUCUUCUUGCCUUUGGAUCUCUACACAUACCUGAGACACUCUCUUCCCACAGUCCUGGGCUCACAGCCACUCCUGGGUUAGGUCUCAGCUUAGACACCACUGUGGACUUCCCUAUCACGUCACCCACCACCCUUCAUUGUAACUCUAUUUUAAUGUCUGCCUUCCUCUUUCCACUGCACAUUGCACGAGCGCAGUGAGCACACGUGUCUCACUCAUCACUGCAUUUCCAAGAAGUGGCAUCAUUCUUGGCACAGUGGUUGAUACUCAACAACCACUUACUGAACGAGAAAUACAGCUAUUCAGCCACCAAAAGAAAAUGAGGUAUCUGUAGGUCCUUAAAGCAAAACUGUCUGAAACAGCAAAAAUACCAAUUUCACUGAGUAUAGUAAACAUUAUUUUGUUUUGCAACUACCUAAAGAAUGCUGUGCAAAUGGCCAUGAGACUCUACCAGUUUUCAGCAUCAAGCCAAGACACACUUUGUUCUGAGAUAACUGAAUGGUUUCCUGUCUCACAAAUAAACUGUCACCCAACAGUUACCUUGCUUACUUCCUUCAAGGCUCUUUUGCAGACUUCAUACUUCGGAGAGUCCUUAGGUGUUUUUUGACAGAUAGUCUGUAAUGAAAUAAAGGUGAACAAAAUUUAUUGAUUUAUUUUAUUCAGUAAAAUAAAACCA